AGCGCGAAACCGGCCCCAAGAUGAGAUAUCCAGGGGGCUCGUCAGAGCCCCGAGAGACCCCCACCAGAACAGUGGGUUGAUAGGUGGUCCGUGGACACCCGGCAACGGGCGGAGCGAGGCCAUACUAAUCGGUCAAGUCCUUUCUCCUG
rnacentral:rRNA from 1 species